rnacentral:lncRNA from 1 species
AAGUCCAUAAGUCAAAAAGUGCUCAAUUUCUCCUACCCUUGUGCCACAUAAGCAAGGUCAAAGCAAAUACAAACACAAAGCAUCCCAUUCUCCAUGGCAAUUCACGUAAGAAACAAUGCAAGGAAAAAGCUUAAAGUGGAAACACUCCUUAGUCAAAAUAAGCAUCUCCUUUUGCUUGGCCAAAAGUGGCAAAAAUUAAAUGCAUCAUUCUCUCUCCUUUCUACACACAAUUUUCGUUUUCUUCACCAACACAAACAUUAAAAUGCUCUUUCUUCAACCAUCAACAACGUGAAUGCACCAAGGAAAUCCAAACUUUCAAUUGCAAAAUGAUUCAAGAGCAACAAACACAAACUUCUACUCAACAAUCCACUUUUAACACUAAUUUUUCUUCAACUUUCUUUGCAAAAACGAAAUGCAAUCCUUAGACCCCUUUGCUGCACCGUCCAGCCAUCAUCAACAAGCACAAUGUCCAGCUUAAAAUACUUCUUCCAACCAUAAAACAAAAACCCAAGAAGAAAUGGUCCAAACCUCAACACCCAUACACAAGCUCAAGCUUUGUUCACUUCCAAACUUAACAAGAACUUUAUUUUCAUGAUUCAACCAAGAAAACUAAAUAGAAAACCUUGAAUACUGCAGCAAGGAAGAAAGAAAAACGAAAAGCUCUUCAUUCAAAUCAAAGACCCACCAUGAAAAUGCAAGAAGAAACCCUUCAAACUCAUGCUUCCAACUUCAACGAACAAGAAAUANAAUGGGGAAUGGAAAGGUUUUUCACCACCACCAAGCAAAGAUAAUCAAGGUGCAAGCAAGAGAAGAAGAAGAAAAUAUGAUCUUGGUCAUCCCAUAGCUCCAAAACGUAAAACCCUACAUGGUCUCCAAGAGAGAGUUCAUACAUGCCAAGUAAAAUGAAAAGUGUAGAAAAUGAGUGAGUUGUUGGAGUGUCUCGACAAUUACCCUAAACAAUGCCUUUCCCCUUCAAAAUAGGUGGGGUCCACCUCCUAAAAGAAACCCUAGGGUUAGGCCAAGUGUCCCACACAUUGGGCUUCUACAAAAUUUGCCACAAAAGGGCCUAAAUGCACUUAAUCUAAUUAAGGUUUCUAAAAAAAACGAAAUUACAACUUUAUUAAAAUGGAAAUGGCUAAAUGUUGAGUCUUGAAUGAUCAUGCCACCAUCCCUAAUGCUCCAAUUGAUGUUUCCCAAAAUUUCCCUGCAACCAAAAUACACUUAAUCAGCUCAGAAAACCCAAAUUAGCACAAUUACGAAUUUCCGACCAAAUUAAGCAGAAUUCAGAAAACGGGGAAAUAAUAGACAAUUAAACACAAUUCCCUGGUUUAUUUAAGUGCAAUAAACUAAAUAUAGUUCAAGAAAUAACCACUCAUCAAUCAGUCAUGUUGUAAAGUUUAAAAUGUUUUCACAAAGGUUUUCAAAACACUUUACAACUAUGAGAGAGAAAGGUUUUCACAAUUAAACUUUUUGUGUUUGAUGGAUGAUUUCGAAAGAGAAACAAUAGAAUAAGGAUCUUUCAAGUAGCUCCCAGGAAAGAGAGAUGAGUCACAAUGGACAAACUUAGAAAUCAAGUCUUUCCUAGACAGAGUGUCCUUGAGUUAGCCUUACCUAAGCUUCUAAGAAGAAAUCUUCCAAAACUUUUUUCUUUUUUAAAAUGCAAAUGCAAAGAAUGCUCCUAAAACCAAAGAAAGGUUUAUAUAAGAUGCUUUCAAACAACCUAAGUACCACGAAGACUUAAAAGAUAAACAAGACAAUGUAUAAAAUGAAAGUAGAAAGAAUUGAAUAUUAUGUAAACAAGUAAACUAACGGUCCUAUGUGAAGAUGCAAAUGACACUUAAGAGCCACUUGACACACCUUCACUUCUAAGAGUGGAAACUAAACUAUUACACAAUUUUAGCAAUGGAGAUGAGAUUGUACCAAAGACAUUUUCCCAAGACACCAAGCAAAUAGAAAAUGAAAUCAACUAAAAUAUUACAAGAACACAAAGGUUCCGUGAUACAAAAUUAAUAGCCAAUAAAAGUGCAUAAACAGCCCCUAAUUCCUUGCUUCUUUCAAGUGUUUGUCCUCUCUUGAUUCACUCCAAAGCAAUGUAGUUAUCUCCCUCCAAAGUCCAAGGAGAAAUGCUUCUUUUAGCCUUCUUUUUAGCCUUCAAAAAUGCUACCUUCAAGGUUAGUCAAUCUCCAAAAAGAACCACUAACCAAAUAUGUUUUUCCAACACCAAAGAGGCCAAAAAUAAAAGCAAUAAAAGCACAAUUUGAAAAGCUAAACUCAAAGGGAGUGAAAGGAGACAAUACUUCAAGGAAAGCCAAGAAUGACAUGCAAAAAAUUAAGGCAUGUCAAAUAGGAAGGCACUCAAAUGAAAUUCCUAAAGAAAGGUGCUAGAAUAGAUGAAUAAAACCAAAAUAAAACUAAGAAUAUAAGACCAACCAGAUUAGCCAAGGCAAAACACUUACUGGAAAAAUGUAAACAACACUUAAAAUUCAAGUCCAAAAUUGAGUUUCUUGUUGUUGUUGUGUCCUUUUCUUUUGCAAUUUUUCUUUUCACUUCUUUUGUCCCUUUUUUUUUCUUCUUUUCUUUUGUUUUUGAUUGAGGGAUCUUUUAUUUUUAUCACUUAAUUUUUCAGAACACAACAAGCAUCAUAAUCUUUGCACAACUCAUGUUCAAAAACAAGGCUAAUUCAAGUGUGUAUGAAGGAAAUCCUUAGGAAUCAAAUGAUCUUUUGACAACAAAAAAACUGACUCAAUGGAAACCUAAUACUAAGAACUUGUUUACGAACUAAUAACAAGUAUGAAUACACUCAUAAAACUCAAAGAAAACCCAGAAACACCCAAAACACAAAAAUCCGAAAUUUCACGCUGGAACUGGACAGCUCUGACCUUUGCUCAAUGUUUUACCCAUAACUUUUUUUGUAGAACUCUAAAUGAGAUGAGGUUUUUUUUCAUGGAAAGUAGACUCAAAUAUAUUUAAUUUUACAUAUAAAACGUAGAGUUUGGACCUCUGGUCUGGUUGCCGUUAUGUUUUUAAAAUCGAGUCCAGAGAGCACUUUGCACCAGAUUUCAGAAAAUGGGUAGGUUUGAAGUUUUCAAUUUUUCUUUCAAGUUCAACAAAGAUGUGAUGACAUAUAUGGAUAUACAAGACUUAGGAAAAAACAAUAGGAUCAUAAAAUCAAAGAAAAUGAAUCAAAAGAUCACCCAAACCCAUGACACAAACUCAUAAACUCUACACACAUACAAAUAGAAAAAUUGGAAAUCCUAGGCACACAACAUGGAUGAUUCAAGAAGAACAAUUAAUUUGAAUCAAUAUUUCAAGACAUAAAACACAUACUCAUGACUCAAACAACAUAUUAGACAUUUUGGAAAAGAUGAAACAACAAGGAAUUCAUAAGAACACAAAUGGGUAAGAAAAAUGGGUAAGAACUUUGAGACACUUAUCUCUUGAAGACUUCCAAGAUAGUGACCAUAGCCCUUGAUACCAAAUGAUGGAGGUUGCUUUGAUGAUGCUUCUUCAUCAAGAGAUGCUCUCCAAGGUGUGUUGAUGAAGCUCUUCAAAGGAUGGACUCCAUGUGAGAUUAUGAAUGUUGCGGAAGCUUUUCAANAUGAAGAGAUGUGGUUGAUGGUGUUGGAUGGUCUAGGUAGAAGUGCUUCUAGGAGGUGAGGCCAACCAUGAAGGAGAAAGUAAGAAGAAGUCUAGAGAAAGACAUUUCUUAGAGUGAGAACUAAGGAGAAUGAGACUUGCAAUUUUGGCAAAGAAACUCUAGCAUUCAAAAUAG